AAAAAAAAAGGAAUUUAUUUAAUAUUUUUUAUUUUAAAAUUAAGGGUUUUUGCUCAAGGAAAUCUAUUUAAAAGAUAUUUUGAGAUCAUUAUUCUAAAUGCAUAAUGAAUCUCAUUUGCCUCAAUAGAAGAUCAUCAUAAAAACAAAAACAGGGAAAACAGUGCUAUUAAAUUCCAGUUAUAUACUGAGGCCUGCCAAAGGCUCCGAGCUGAAGCCUGUUUCCUUACUGUAAAAACAAACAAACAACAACAACAACAACAAAAAAAAAACAGAAUUCAGCAAGUAUUACAGGGAUCAGAGACAUACUGGCACCAAUUUAAAUAUCCUCUUUCAAACGACUGAAAGAGAAUUGUAAAGGGAAUAGCUUGUUCAGUAUGUGAUUUACUGCUCUUCAAUGCCAACAUGCGUCUUCCAUCUCGAAUCACCUCAGCAUGCUUCUAUACUUUGACAGAGCCAUCAGAAGACAAAAGUAAAGGAGCAGUGUUCAUUUACCAUUGACUGGUCUUGUGUUCAAAGGUGUGUCAUAUAUACUGAUUGUAUAUUUUCAGUGGCAUACAUUAUAUUCUAUUUUCCAUGAAGUUCAACUUCCAUUCAGAAUCAGAAAAAAAAUAUAUUUUUCUCUAAUUUUUAAACUUGAGAGCAGCCUUAAGAAAGAACAAGAUCAUGCCUUUUGUGAGAACCCGGAUGGAAGUGAAGGCUGUUAGCCUUAGCAAAGUAACACAGGAACAGAAAACCAAAUACCUCAUGUUUUCACUUAUAAGUGGGAGCUAAAUGAUAAGAAUUUAUGAACACAAAGAAGGAAACAACAGACACUGGGGUCUACUUGAGGGUGGAGGGUGGGAGGAGGGAUAGGAACACAAAAAUAACUUGAGUAAUGGGCUUAAUACCUGGGUGAUGAAAUAAUCCGUACAAUAUACCCCCGCGACACGAGUUUACCUAUGUAACAAACCGCAUGGGCCCCUGAAUCUAAAAUAAAAGUUAAAAAAAAAAACUUGAGAGGCAAAAUCUGGUUUUCUGAGAGGGGAAAUACAUCUGGUGAUUUGGCUGUAUACUGUGACACACUCCACAGUAUGGAUUAAAAUUAUGAACAGGCUUGUAAAAUAAGCUUCUUCCAAAUCUACUGCUAACAGGUUAAAAACAAUAACUAAGCCAACAAUUUGAAAGAAGGCUUUCAAAUUUUUAAAAAAGUGUUUUCAAAACUUAAAACUGUACAAGUAAUAUUUAUUUAAGCCAUCAGAAGUAGCUCUGUCUUGCCCUUACUUUUAUAAUAAGAAAUAAGCCUGGGAUGAUAUUUGCAAGUAAUAGAGUUAAGAAUAAACACAUGAAUAAUAGAUUUAAAAAACAUAAUUUGAUAUAAUUCUCAGGCCACUUUUCAAAUGGUGUUAAAAUACAAAAUUUGGUGCAUUUAUUAACCUUUUAUAAUUUAUUUAAAAAGAAAUUUUGUGCCUGAAAAUCCAAUGCUAAUUACUUUAGGAACAUUCUAAAAUUACUUCACAAUUUACAUGCUGCUUAAAACAUAUUCUUACUCUAAAUAUUUUAUUGAAAAUGUUAUAUACUUAAUCAGAAGUAGGUAUCAUGUAUUAGGAAAUACAAUUCAUACUAAGAACAACUACAAAAUACAAAAACUGUUAGUUCAUAUUUUCCAUUUCAUUUAUUCAACAAAUAUUUAUUAAGUGACUAGUAUACGUCAGCCAAUGUUCUAGCUAGUGAAUAUACAAAAGUUAAUAAAAGACCAUAGUUAAUAAAACUUUUGCCCUCUUGGAAAUUACAUUCGCGUCCUUUAGGCUCUAAUUGAAAGGUAACAAGAAAUGUAAUGUUUCCAGUUUUAAGAAAAUUAUUUUUAUUUUACUGUGAUUUGCAGUCAAAGGAGUAUUACAAAAAUAAUAUAAUCUCAUUUCUUAGUUUUUAUAUUAAUCUUUUAGAGUGUAUGAAAAGACAAUAAAACCUGUAAACAGAGACAAAACAUUUUCCUUUGUCUUUUAGACUUCCUUCUGUUCUUAUUUUCACUGUUUUAUAGCAAAGCCCUAGGGGCAGGGACCCAUCCAUGACUUACUUGUCUUUGUGUUCCAAGCAUCCAGCCCUACACCUGGCACAUUCUUGGUGCUCAACAAGCUGUACUGAAUAAACCAAUAACUUCAGUAUACAGGUAUUUAUAGUAAAAUCACACCAGGAGAAACCAAAACUACUGCAUGGACAUUUAACAAAAGAUAUCCAAAGUGGUCUGAAUGGGAACUGUUUGUGUUACCACAUUCUUACACCUAUCUGGGAUGCCUCCAAGAACACUCUAAAGCCUUGAAACUGUUUGAUCUCUUCCAGAGGGCCUUCAGAGGAUAAUCAGACAACCAUAAUUGUUACCUUCCAGGAUGGAAUGUGCAUCUUUUUGCUUUCCCCUAACAAAUCCUCAGGCGUGGAAGUGGGAGAACACUGUGUGUGUAUGCUGGAGUCGGGAGGUGGUAUUAGGGGUGGCAUGAGCAACAACAAGUGGUAAAGUGGAAAAACAGAAUCCAUGCUUCUUCAUCUGACUUGUCUCAGAUACAGGUGAAUGCCUCCGUUCUUUCUGAGCUACCAUAUUGACUACAGUGUUGUUAUACAGACGUACAGAAUUGGAUGCUUAAAAGCUUAAAAUUUUAUCCUUCCUUCAUUUUCCUUUCUCCUACCACUUCGCCCAGCACCAUAGGGCGUUUAAGGCAAAGUAAAGUGGGCCAAAAGUGCCAUUCUUAAUCUGGGAAGAAUACACUAUCUAAAUGUGCCCAGAAAACAAACAAGGAUAGAUUUCACUGUUUAACUGUAGAAACCAGUUACAAGUCAGAAGAAACAGUAUCUGCCCUGACACAUUUCCUUUUCAGCAUCAUGUUCAGCCAGACACAGACAAGCUUGGGAAGAGGAUUUCAUAUUGUUUCUUCAAACUCUGGAAACAAUUCCACUUGAAGGCUCAAUAGUUCAGAACAGGACCCACAGCUGCAAAAACCGUGACAAUUAGAGGGGCUAAGAGAAACUUCCAGCAGUGAUUUCUGCAGUUGAAGAAUUUAAGGAAUUAAGCAGACUUACUCAUUUGAAAUAUCAACUCAACUACUCCAGACAAAACCUGUCACUAAUACUGAAGAAAAAGAUUUAACUUUAAUUAUAUGUAUUCCAUUGUAGCAUUACUCAUUUCUAUAACAUGUUUUCACAAAAAGAAAAAAAAAAAGUUCUAUACGUGAUUAAAGUCUUUUGCUUUCAGUAUCAUCAUCAUCAUCCUAUCCAUUGCUGCAACAUAAAGAAUUUCCCAUCUCAAAGAAUGCCUUGUAUCCCGAUCAGCAAAGUAGGCACACUCUGGGAGGCCAGCCAGGAUGUGGGAAUGGCCUCCUAUAAAACUAGAUUUUUGUGUGUAUGUUAAAACGGGAUUCUACCUGUCUUUGCAGUAAUUUUAUAUUAAUAAAUGCUCUUUAACGUUCAAGAA